AACGAACGCUGGCGGCAUGCCUAACACAUGCAAGUCGAACGAGAUGUUCGGGUCUAGUGGCGCACGGGUGCGUAACGCGUGGGAAUCUGCCCUUUGGUUCGGAAUAACAGUUGGAAACGACUGCUAAUACCGGAUGAUGACGAAAGUCCAAAGAUUUAUCGCCAGAGGAUGAGCCCGCGUAGGAUUAGCUAGUUGGUGUGGUAAAGGCGCACCAAGGCGACGAUCCUUAGCUGGUCUGAGAGGAUGAUCAGCCACACUGGGGCUGAGACACGGCCCAGACUCCUACGGGAGGCAGCAGUGGGGAAUAUUGGACAAUAGGCGAAAGCCUGAUCCAGCAAUGCCGCGUGAGUGAUGAAGGCCUUAGGUUGUAAAGCUCUUUUACCCGGGAUGAUAAUGACAGUACCGGGAGAAUAAGCUCCGGCUAACUCCGUGCCAGCCGCCGCGGUAA
rnacentral:rRNA from 1 species